rnacentral:lncRNA from 1 species
AAUCUAAAAAUCCUAAAAAUCUACAGUGUCUCCAUCAUGUAGUACAAAAGAAAAAAAUAAAAGGGGAGCCCGCGGAACGAAAAUCCCGGUCCCCUCCGCUAAUCCGGCGGGCAGCACGCCUUCCCACUCCAAGUCGCGCAUACCUAUCGGCGGGGAGCGUCGCAUUCGGCCGCCGCCGCCGCCUCCCCGCACGCUCCGGAGCCGCCCAAGCCCCCCGGCUUCGCCCGCGUAGGCAGCGGAUUCCCACGGCACUCUCGCUAACUUGCGGGGAACAAGCAAAGAAUUGCCAAGUCCCACCUAGCCGCUGUCAGCAACUUUUGGAAUUAAGUCCCAAUUAUUUUGGUGAAAAUACGGUAAUGCACAGAUAAGGACAUGAAGCCAGGCAGCUGAGAAACACCUUUCCUCGCAUGUUUAUACAGUCACGUUUUUCCUGUUGCACACAAAAGGGAUACCCGGCACCAGCCACGAGAACCGCCGCACUCACCUCCCGGCUUCUUUCUUCCUCUCCUUCAAAGGUGGCGGUGGAAUCAGUCAGCGAGAGUCACCCAGCAUAGAAAGGGCUUCUCCGGCUCCCUCUCCCCGGCGCUGACGUGACCGGCGCCGCGAUCGCUGCCGCAGCCCCGGAGCUGGUUCUCGCCCCUCCGCGAGGCGCAUCGGCACUUGCCAACAAUGAGCUGUGUUCCUUACACGGCUUUGGCCGCGGCUAAUAUAGGAUUUCAGAAGGGAGGAGCAAAACCCUUACAGGCAACCAGAACCGUCUACAGGCACAUAGAGAGGACACUCCUCCCGGCCCAAGGAAUUGUGAAUAUGAGACCAAGACGGCCAUCAUGUAGGCUGAGAUGGGGUUUCUGCACCUCCACGUGCUUUGCAAGGAUGUACUACAGUGCAGGAGGGCCUCCCUGGGAGGGCACAGAGAAACUAAAUCAGAAGCUUUGCUCUGCUUGCACACCAAAACCACUUUGGCAGCUGGUGAGGGUCCAAGCCUGUAAUGCAGCACUUGAACAACUUGGAAAUGCCUGGGGCAAGACACGUUCAGUUCAGGGGAUCGGACUAAAUCUGAAUUUUCCCCAAACUGCUUGAAUUGGAAAUAAAGGGGCCUCAAUACCAAGACUUUCGAUGGAC